UACGGAGGGUGCAAGCGUUGUCCGGAAUCAUUGGGUGUAAAGGGUGUGCAGGCGGAAGUCUAAGUCGGAGGUGAAAUCUUGCCGCUUAACGGUAAAAGGGCCUUCGAAACUGGAUUUCUUGAGUUCGGAAGAGGUUGGUGGAAUUCGUGGUGUAGCGGUGAAAUGCAUAGAUAUCACGAAGAACACCAGUGGCGAAGGCGGCCAACUGGUCCGAUACUGACGCUGAGACACGAGAGCGUGGGGAGCGAACAGG
rnacentral:misc_RNA from 1 species